rnacentral:rRNA from 1 species
AACGCGAAGAACCUUACCAAGGUUUGACAUCCCACUAAUUUCUCCGAAAGGAGAGAGUAUCUUCGGACUGUGGUGACAGGUGAUGCAUGGCCGUCGUCAGCUCGUGUCGUGAGAUGUUUGGUUAAGUCCAUCAACGAGCGCAACCCUUAUAGUUAGUUGUACUUCUCUAGCUAGACUGCCCUGGUAACAGGGAGGAAGGAGGGGACGAUGUCAGGUCAGUAUUUCCCUUAUAUCUUGGGCUACAAACACGCUACAAUGGCCGGUACAAAGGGCUGCCAAGUCGCAAGACGGAGCAAAUCCCAUCAAAGCCGGUCUCAGUUCGGAUUGCAGGCUGAAACCCGCCUGCAUGAAGCUGGAAUCGCUAGUAACGGUAGGUCAGCACACUACCGUGAAUACGUUCCCGGGUCUUGUACACACCG